AGUGAACGCUGGCGGUAGGCCUAACACAUGCAAGUCGAACGGCAGCACAGUAAGAGCUUGCUCUUACGGGUGGCGAGUGGCGGACGGGUGAGGAAUACAUCGGAAUCUACUUUUUCGUGGGGGAUAACGUAGGGAAACUUACGCUAAUACCGCAUACGACCUACGGGUGAAAGCAGGGGAUCUUCGGACCUUGCGCGAUUGAAUGAGCCGAUGUCGGAUUAGCUAGUUGGCGGGGUAAAGGCCCACCAAGGCGACGAUCCGUAGCUGGUCGGAGAGGAUGAUCGGCCACACGGGAACUGAGACACGGUCCAGACUCCUACGGGAGGCAGCAGUGGGGAAUAUUGGACAAAGGGCGCAAGCCUGAUCCAGCCAUACCGCGUGGGUGAAGAAGGCCUUCGGGUUGUAAAGCCCUUUUGUUGGGAAAGAAAAGCAGCAGGUUAAUACCCCGCUGUUCUGACGGUACCCAAAGAAUAAGCACCGGCUAACUUCGUG
rnacentral:rRNA from 1 species